ACACGACCUUCCUUUCAGGUGGGAUGCUGGUGAUGUUCAACUAAUCCCAUCUCUCGCUUAAGCUUCAAGCGCUCUCCAACGUCAACAACUUAGUCGACACCUUCUGGCCGAGAUCUCCACUAGUCGGCCUAAGAUGUGAGCAUUCUUCUUUUCUUCUUCGAUCUUUGCGUUUUUGGGAAUUUGUAUUUGGGUUUUGCUAUGAGAGAUGUUAUUCCAGGCGGCAUUUUGGCUUAUCUAGAUGAUGAAAACAAAUCCCAAUAUGUUUCCAUUCACUCUUUUGUUGUUGGCAAGAAAGUCAUCAUCUUUGGUGUUCCCGGUGCCUUCACUCCUACUUGCAGCUUGAAGCACGUGCCUGACUUCAUUGAGAGCAGA